AUGACCCCUUGUGAUAUAAAUACCGAGGUCAUUGUUGUUUUGCCUGAAGUCGGUGUUGUCCAAAAAUACGCUACAUAUACAUCGGAAUACCUGAUGACAAGUUACAACGAUGAACAAGAAUUACUCGUUAUUCCUGUGAAGCACACUACAUGGUUCCAGCUAGAAGGGCUGAGAGAGGACAAGAAAUUCUACGUGUUUCCAGGCAAAAAUGCAUGCACGUACAAAUAUUUUGGAGGGCUUGGUUUGCAUGAUACACACGAAGGUUCAUGUUCAUUAAUAGAUGAUCAAGGCAUUAAGGAGAAGGUUGCAGAUUUCCUAUUUCUAUUCUUCCCACGCAAAGAGAAGUUCCAGGCAGAAGCGAGCAGGACGUGUGAUGCAUGGAGUUUAUUUUCCUUGAAAGAAGUCGGUUGGGGUCCACCUGAAGAUCGAGAUGCACUAGAAGAUGCAUGGCGCACCAAUCCAAUUAGAGUCCAUAAUCAUCCCGAUGGUAGAGUCUAA
rnacentral:rRNA from 1 species